UACGGGGGGAGCAAGCGUUGUUCGGAUUUACUGGGCGUAAAGGGCGCGUAGGCGGCCACCGCAAGUCGACUGUGAAAUCUCCGGGCUUAACCCGGAAAGGUCAGCCGAUACUGCGGGGCUAGAGUGCAGAAGGGGCAACUGGAAUUCUCGGUGUAGAGGUGAAAUUCGUAGAUAUCGAGAGGAACACCGGUGGCGAAGGCGGCGAUCUGGACGAUGACUGACGCUGAGACGCGAAAACGUGGGGAGCAAACAGG
rnacentral:rRNA from 1 species